AAUUUUGUUGUUAUUCUAAUUGAUUUGUCUAAAAUCUAGAUAUUUAUAAAAUAUACUUGGUGAGAGCUAACGAUUAGGUUGGGUGGUUCUGUUUCUGAAUCUUCCUUUCUUACUAUUUAGACUUAAGAAGAAUGAAAGGCUCCAAGAAGCAUGUGCUGCUGUGACGUCUCGACUCGCAAUGGAGUUGCCCCAAGGGAACUGUGGUGUUCCUGUUGGUCAAGAAUUUUCCCAGGUUUCAAGCAUUCAUGUCAGGAGAGCAGGAGAGUACCAUAGCAAAGCUUCACUAGAAUCGAUAAAACUCAUAAAAGGAAGGUGGCACGGACCAUUUGGCCAAGAAGAAUCAAACCAGUUUCUAAGUCCCUGACCCAUUCCUUGUCUUUUGCCUGAAUAGGUUUACACCGGAGUCUGCAUAGGCAUUUGCUCUUAGGUUUGGUGGUGUUUAAUGAAACUUCCUCCAGCAUGAGAAUAGAACGACUCUCCAUGGGUUUUCCAAGGUUUUGAGGCAGCCUUCUAGCUGCUUAUGCUCUCAAAUGGAGGAGGUCUUUUCUCUAACCUAGGCAUUACCACAAACCGGCCUGACAGCCAUUCUGUGAGAUGUUCUUGGUAAAGUGCCAGGCUUGCUGGCUGAAUGCCUGUGCCUCAGUACUUGAGCAGCACUGGGUUAUCUCUGAAUUCUAUGUGGUCCUCUUCAAGGCUUGUUGGCUGUUUAUAUCAUCUCUUUAAAGAUAUUUUCCAGAAAGUUGUGGUUUUUCCGAAGUGCGUAUUACAUAUAAAGUGUGAUAGUCAUUUUAUCCCAGCCUGGCCCUUGGAGAAGCUACACUGGACCCUGAAGCAAACAGCGCAAACUGCCAGCUGAGGCACAAUUGAAGUCCAGCCAUGGUUGGUAUCUGAGCCACCUUUCGCACACAAUCCUAAGUAAGAUAAACUUAGCAUCAGACUCUCUGACCUCGGCACUCUUUCCUGCUCCUCCCCCAGCUCCAUGGUUGUAUCAUCAAGAUGCCACAGCUGCUGAAUAGAGUCUGAGCUCAAUCCAGGAAACUCCAGUGGUCCAGGAGCAGCAGAUACUGUUGGUAGCUCUCUACUGUCUAGGCACACUCCAUUCCUUUUCUAUGCUCCCUGCUGGCUCUGAAAGGGGGACCUGCGUUUGCUGGAAAAAAUCUGCAGAUGACUCUCCAAGAGUGAGGAAGCAUCUACCUGGAAGUGACGUACACAGUAUCUAACUCUGGAAAAAGUAGGCUAGAUAGAUCGCAAGAGUAUUGAAAAUUGUCAACCAUGUCAAGAACCUUGUACAGAGUGAGAAAUUCACAUCACUAAGCCACAUGUAAUCAUAAUGCUGAAGUUAAAAUCAAUCCAGCCUUAAGUCCUCCAGAUAAUUAGCUAAACGUAAUUUAUAUUAAUCAGAUUUCAUUAGCCUGUUUUCCUAUAUCAGUUUCCAGAGAAGGAAAAUAUAUGUUGUCUCUAUUUUCUUAUCAUAUGGGCCUAUGCUGGAGAAGUACAUUUUCCCCUGGGCUGUUUUCUAUAACCUCACAGAUGAUUAUUUUUUUAUUACUUUUGUUCUUCACUGGCAAAUCUACACUCGGAUCUCUGUGGCUGUCAGGUGAGAGAACUCUGUUGUUAUCACAUGAACCUGAAAUCCAAGCUCUAUCUGGCUACUCAGGGCAGGAAUGGAUUUGACUUGCCUAGGGUUUUGUUUUAUUUUUUUUGCCUGUCUUGGCACUUGUUUGUCCUCGUUGUUGUGUUAACUCUAGGCCGUGAUGACUCACGCUGA
rnacentral:lncRNA from 1 species